GAAUGCCAUCAUCUGACUUCCUUUCAGGCCUCAGUGGUUUAUCGAUAAAGAAAUGCUCGAAAACGAAUUCCAGAAUGUCACCUGCUGCUUUAGGGCUGCUCAGAUUUUUUUCGCACUAAAUCACGUUCCGUCCGUUCACAACUUCAGCAGCUUCUCUCUCAGCAUCCCUUUGAAGAGAGAAAACCAAGAGGAUGAUGACAGAAAAGGAUUCAUGCCUAAAACCUUUGGAGGGACACAAAGAAAUGAAGGAAUACGCUGACGACGAUGAAGUUCAACCUUGUGUAGUCAGUGAAUCGACCAGUCAAUACACAAUAGAAAAUAACUACUGUAAAAAAGAAAUCAUGUAAGAAUAACAGAAAAUAAUAUAAUUUUCCAUAAAUACAUUUUCUAGCCCUUUUUCAUGUUAUUCUACAUUGUACAUCUAUGUAUUACAUUAUGCACAUACGUUACACACAUAUAGAACAUUUAUGUAAUUUACUGAAAACGAGAAAAAAAUGCUUAUGCAUGUUGCUUUUUUGUGAAUUACAGUGAUAAACCAGUACAUGUGCAUAUUCUAAUUUUUUAUUACCUUGGUUUCAGUCCAAAUCAGUCCUGAAACCUAUUAAACUUUGUGACCAUAA